rnacentral:rRNA from 1 species
CCUACGGGUGGCAGCAGUGGGGAAUAUUGCACAAUGGGGGAAACCCUGAUGCAGCGACGCCGCGUGAGUGAAGAAGUAUUUCGGUAUGUAAAGCUCUAUCAGCAGGGAAGAAGCAAGACGGUACCUGACUAAGAAGCCCCGGCUAACUACGUGCCAGCAGCCGCGGUAAUACGUAGGGGGCAAGCGUUAUCCGGAUUUACUGGGUGUAAAGGGAGCGUAGACGGUAUGGCAAGUCUGAAGUGAAAGCCCAGGGCUUAACCCUGGGACUGCUUUGGAAACUGUUAGACUAGAGUGCCGGAGAGGCAGGCGGAAUUCCUAGUGUAGCGGUGAAAUGCGUAGAUAUUAGGAGGAACACCAGUGGCGAAGGCGGCCUGCUGGACGACAACUGACGGUGAGGCGCGAAAGCGUGGGGAGCAAACAGGAUUAGAUACCCGGGUAGUC